CACAUGACUCUCGGCAACGGAUAUCUCGGCUCUCGCAUCGAUGAAGAACGUAGCAAAAUGCGAUACCUGGUGUGAAUUGCAGAAUCCCGCGAACCAUCGAGUUUUUGAACGCAAGUUGCGCCCGAGGCCUUCUGGCCGAGGGCACGUCUGCCUGGGCGUCACGC
rnacentral:rRNA from 10 species